UUAUUUGAGAGUUUGAUCCUGGCUCAGGAUGAACGCUGGCGGCGUGCCUAACACAUGCAAGUUGAGCGAUUUACUUCGGUAAAGAGCGGCGGACGGGUGAGUAACGCGUGGGUAACCUACCCUGUACACACGGAUAACAUACCGAAAGGUAUGCUAAUACGGGAUAAUAUAUUUGAGAGGCAUCUCUUGAAUAUCAAAGGUGAGCCAGUACAGGAUGGACCCGCGUCUGAUUAGCUAGUUGGUAAGGUAACGGCUUACCAAGGCGACGAUCAGUAGCCGACCUGAGAGGGUGAUCGGCCACAUUGGAACUGAGACACGGUCCAAACUCCUACGGGAGGCAGCAGUGGGGAAUAUUGCACAAUGGGCGAAAGCCUAAUGCAGCGACGGCGCGUGAGUGAUGAAGGCCUUCGGGUCGUAAAAC
rnacentral:rRNA from 1 species